AGUGAACGCUGGCGGUAGGCCUAACACAUGCCAGUCGAACGGCAGCACAGUAAGAGCUUGCUCUUACGGGUGGCGAGUGGCGGACGGGUGAGGAAUACAUCGGAAUCUACUUUUUCGUGGGGGAUAACGUAGGGAAACUUACGCUAAUACCGCAUACGACCUACGGGUGAAAGCAGGGGAUCUUCUGACCUUGCGCGAUUGAAUGAGCCGAUGUCGGAUUAGCUAGUUGGCGGGGUAAAGGCCCACCAAGGCGACGAUCCGUAGCUGGUCUGAGAGGAUGAUCAGCCAGACUGGAACUGAGACACGGUCCAGACUCCUACGGGAGGCAGCAGUGGGGAAUAUUGGACAAUGGGCGCAAGCCUGAUCCAGCCAUACCGCGUGGGUGAAGAAGGCCUUCGGGUUGUAAAGCCCUUUUGUUGGGAAAGAAAAGCAGCAGGUUAAUACCCCGCUGUUCUGACGGUACCCAAAGAAUAAGCACCGGCUAACUUCGUG
rnacentral:rRNA from 1 species